GAUGAACGCUGGCGGCGUGCCUAAUACAUGCAAGUCGAGCGAACGGACGAGAAGCUUGCUUCUCUGAUGUUAGCGGCGGACGGGUGAGUAACACGUGGAUAACCUACCUAUAAGGCUGGGAUAACUUCGGGAAACCGGAGCUAAUACCGGAUGAUAUUUUGAACCGCAUGGUUCAAAAGUGAAAGACGGUCUUGCUGUCACUUAUAGAUGGAUCCGCGCUGCAUUAGCUAGUUGGUAAGGUAACGGCUUACCAAGGCAACGAUGCAUAGCCGACCUGAGAGGGUGAUCGGCCACACUGGAACUGAGACACGGUCCAGACUCCUACGGGAGGCAGCAGUAGGGAAUCUUCCGCAAUGGGCGAAAGCCUGACGGAGCAACGCCGCGUGAGUGAUGAAGGUCUUCGGAUCGUAAAACUCUGUUAUUAGGGAAGAACAUAUGUGUAAGUAACUGUGCACAUCUUGACGGUACCUAAUCAGAAAGCCACGGCUAACUACGUG
rnacentral:rRNA from 1 species